UAACGGCCCACCUGGGCAAUGAUCAUUAUCCGACCUGAUAGGGUGACCGGCCACACUGGAACUGAAACACGGUCCACACUCCUACGGGAGGCACCAUUGGGGAAUAUUGGACAAUGGGCCCCAGCCUGAUGCAUCAACCCCUCCUGAGCGAUGAAUGCCUUCGGGUCGUAAAACUCUGUCCUAUGGGAAGAAGAAGUGACGGUACCAUAGGAGGAAGCCCC
rnacentral:rRNA from 1 species